rnacentral:tRNA from 1 species
UUAAUUGAAGCCAAAAAGAGGCUUAUCACUGUUAAUGAUAGAACUGAGAAUAUCCUCCAAUUAAG